rnacentral:lncRNA from 1 species
GAAAAUGGGAGAUUACAAAUGAACGUGAAAGAGGAGAUGCUGAAAAAUCAAGUGGAUGACGGCACAGUCAUGACUGAUGCUAAUAUGGUGGAUAAUAGGAGCAUCUCUAUAAUAAAUUCUAAUUCAGGAAAAAAAUGAGUUGGAAAAGAAUUGGCCUAGGUCAAAGGGGAAGUCUACGAGUGGAUGAAGGUGGUUUAAAAAAGAGGAAAGUUACG